AGGUUGUUGUGAAUGUUAUAUAUAAAUCUGAAGGAGGAGUAUAGAUUUUCUGAGUAGUAUUUUUUUUGGGGGGUUUGCCGAAUCAUUAAGAUGAAGCUAUAGAAUGUUGGACUCAUAGAUCUAAAUAACUACGGCAAGCAGAAGUUUUAAGGAUCAACAAACUUUAAAAUGGAGGAAAACUAUGGAGCUAAGGUGGGGCAUGUGUGGACUGCAGAACAUUGGGAGAACGAAAGACAAAGAAUGACGUAACUCGGUAAUGGAAGGAGCUAUCUUUGCUUCUAUUCCAACAACAUUAUUUUGGAUGGCUUAUAUUGCUUGUUCGUUGCUUACAUGGAGUUGAUGGGGUCAGUUAUCUCUCAUUACAAGGAAUCAGUAACACCUCCAAGGAAUCAACCUGUCUAAUUUUAGGCCAUUUGGAAGGCUUUGGCAGGACUACUUUUAAUUCUUUACCAAUCAGUGAAUGACGGAAGUUAAUGGUUGCAUGAGAUUGGAACAAUCUAUACUUUGGUCUAAAAUUGAUUCCGGUGUUUAGAAAUUUUGCGAACAUGUCAAUGGUUAAGUACUAUGACAAACAGACAACUUUAA